rnacentral:tmRNA from 1 species
GGGGCUGAUUCUGGAUUCGACGGGAUUUGCGAAACCCAAGGUGCAUGCCGAGGGGCGGUUGGCCUCGUAAAAAGCCGCAAAAAAUAGUCGCAAACGACGAAAACUACGCUUUAGCAGCUUAAUAACCUGCUUAGAGCCCUCUCUCCCCAGCCUCCGCUCUUAGGGCGGGGAUCAAGAGAGGUCAAACCCAAAAGAGAUCGCGUGGAAGCCCUGCCUGGGGUUGAAGCGUUAAAACUUAAUCAGGCUAGUUUGUUAGUGGCGUGUCCGUCCGCAGCUGGCAAGCGAAUGUAAAGACUGACUAAGCAUGUAGUACCGAGGAUGUAGGAAUUUCGGACGCGGGUUCAACUCCCGCCAGCUCCACCA